AUCAGCAGCUGCUGUUCUCUACACCACCAUUGGUGGUCUGAAAGCUGUGAUUUGGACGGAUGUCCUCCAGUAUAUGCUAAUGUUUAUCGGCAUGCUGGCGGUAAUCAUCAAGGGUACAAUUGAUAGUGGAGGAAUCGAGGAAGUUU